UCGUUCACAUUGGCAUCUUCUAACAUCAUCCCGGCUCUCUUUUCAAGCUCUGAAAUCAACGCUGGCGAUGCAGAGUACAGCAUGGCCAACUUUAACAUCUGCAAUAAGAACUUACAUGGAAGAGCUUUGUUUUGAGGAGGUAGACACUUCGCUAAGCCACCAGCCUUCUUGACCAUCUGCAUCCCCAAUGGCGUUUUCUCUGGAAGCCUUCCAAGCGAUUGAGUCACAGCAGCGUCUGACAAUUUGAAGAUUUUCAGCCCACGGAGAGAGAGUUUCACAAGAUUUAAGCACAGAAAUGGUGUCUUUCCGUGAAGAAAGGACAACCAAGGGUUCAAGUCCACUGGAAGACCAUAACAGAAUUUUAAAAUGAUUUCAAAGGUUUCUGAUCCGCCGGGGAAGUUUUCAAGCUUGAGGUCAUAACUGAAAUUUGAAGGUGAAGGAUGAAUUUCCAAUCGACCUAUGUAGCCACAUUUCGAUACCAAAGGAUACUGCAAAAACAAAGAGAAAUGAACCAUGAACUUAUGACUACUGUGUAGUUGUGUGUUGAAGUUAUGACUCGAGCCGUGCAUGUUUGUAUUGCUCUGUAAGUUUACCUUGUGGACGUCGAAGGUGAUGCCUUGAACUUGAAUGGUUAGGUCUGUCGGGACAUGAGAAUUGAUAAACCUGCACGAAUCCACCAAAUAAAUAUGUCUUUACUCGUUAUGGAAUAUAUGCAGAGUUAGAAUUUAGACAAGACUUUCUCUCCUUGUACCAUGACAGUGUGUUUCUUUUCGAAGCUACCAGGCUAUAGUGAUGUGUUUGGUAGGAACAACGAUGCGCUGGUCGUGAAGUUCAUCGGAGCCCUCGUAAUCGGCCUCGGCCUCUGGAAUUUGCGGUGGAUUUAGGGACAUGUUCACGGCGACGCUUUUGGCCAGAUAUGUUAUGAGAGACGGUAGAGAGAUUUGGAUGGAAUAACAUGAUAUAAGAGAGUGGGGAUGUGAUGUGAAUAAAUGAAUGAGAAGUGAGUAUGUGGUUGUGAAGAAUGUAGAUCUACUCCUUAUGAGGGUUGGUGGAGUGCCGUUCUCUAAUUGUUGCUGGCUUGGGACUAACAAUUUCUAAAUGUUAUGUUGUUUGAAAGAGA